CCUACGUGAGGCAGCAGUGAGGAAUAUUGGUCAAUGGGCGCGAGCCUGAACCAGCCAAGUCGCGUGAGGGAAGACGGUCCUCUGGAUUGUAAACCUCUUUUGUCGGGGAGCAAAAGACGCCACGCGUAGCGUUCCGAGAGUCCCCGAAGAAAAAGCAUCGGCUAACUCCGCUCCAGCCGCCGCGGUACUACGGUGGAUGCGAACGGUGUCCGGAUUUCUUGGGUUAAAAGGGUGCCCAGGCGGAAGAUCAAGUCAGCGGUAAACUUGAGAGGCUCAACCUCUUCGAGCCGUUGAGACUGGUUUUCUUGAGUGAGCGAGAAGUAUGCGGAAUGCGUGGUGUAGCGGUGAAAUGCAUAGAUAUCACGCAGAACUCCGAUUGCGAAGGCAGCAUACCGGCGCUCAACUGACGCUCAUGCACGAAAGUGUGGGUAUCGAACAGGAUUAGAUACCCUUGUAGUC
rnacentral:rRNA from 1 species